ACUAGAAGGUGAGGGUUUUUUCAAGGUGUAUGCUCUAUUAACAUCAGCUAAAUUAAACACGAAUAGGAAUGAUUAGCAUUCACAACUCAAAGUAGAAUCAUUGAAGGAGAAGUGUAUGAAUGAGUAACACUAAAUCUCAUUGAGAGUUAAAGAAUGAGGGAAUAAGCUGUAACAACUUUGUAACUGAAAUGCUAGAAAUGCGGAUGGUGAUAUAACUAACUCAACAUAACUAUCAAACUCUUGCAGGUGAUUUUCAUCCCUUUGCGAACCAGAAACUUCGUUAGGGUUUCCUUUUGCUUUUUUCACUCCCAUCAACCUCUCGUUCUCUUCUCUCUCUGCAACUCACGGUUUCUCUAGAUCGUAACUCUCGUUGCAUUCUAUUUUCAACACUCGCAGCUCUAGCUUCUUGUCCUCUCCUUUCACUUGAUCGCAACGCUCAUUCUGCCGCGCGCGAUUUGCAACACUUGUAGCUCUAGCUUCUUGUCCUCUCCUUUGUGGUUCUUCAAUUAAGGUUAUAAUGGCAUUUAUUCAACCCUCUAGAGUUAUUUCUUCAUUUGCAGCUUUGGCCGUUCUCAUGAUGUUCAUCACAUAUGCUGCACUUACAUAUAUCCAUACCAUCCCUUAUCUGUUCGCAUUCAUCACAUCCGCGGGGUCUUUUUUGCAUUUUAUUCCAAUCAUCAGCUACAACGAGGACGAUUUCAUGACCAACUAUUUUGUGAAAAAUGGUCUGUUUUAUCUUUUCUUGUCCAUAAUGCUCAUGGUCUAUGGCUACUAUAGUGUUGUUGUUAUGUAAGUCUUACAAUUGGCCCGUUUUACUAACACUCUUCUAUUACUAAUGAAAUUUAAAGUGACAAAGUUUGUCUGUCUUUCUAUUCACAUCUUCUAAAUUAUAACUAUUAAUUAGGAAAGUCUUUUGAAGGCCAAGCUUCAAAACUUGAAAAAUCUAA